rnacentral:lncRNA from 1 species
CAUGAUGAUUAUAUUUCAAAUGCCUAAAAUGCUGAUAUGGAAGUCUGUUGCAUUGCUUAAAAAGGUCCUAAGCAUUUGGCUGCCUCUCUAAGAUAUCAAAGCAUGUUUUGAGAUUUGACUAGUAUCUUAAUAAUCUUACUACUGCCAUUUGACAUGGUGGCCUUAUAUUUACUGCAUUGAAGACGACAUAAACAUAAUAGAUUUCUGCAUUUAUCUUCUAUUUUUUCUUUUGGUCCUCUGAGGAAGUUAUUAACAUAUAAUCCUUGAAACAGCCUCCUUUUUUUCGUCCUAACCAACUUUAGUUCACCCUUUUGUGGAGUAGGUACAGAGGGGUGGUUCAUUGUCUAUUCCUUCUUUUAGGCCACCAGCAAAUAGCUGGUCAGGCACAUUUCAUCAUCCAUUUUCGUUUAUUCGCGGUGAUUCAAUUGUAUUUAUAUAUUGAUAUGAAUAUUACUGUUGAAUUGUUCCACAUCGGAGGGAUUUGAGGUCCUUGGUCUUCUUAUAUGGCUUGGGCAAUCCUAACCUCAUAAGCUAGCUUUUG